rnacentral:rRNA from 1 species
UACGUAGGGGGGCAAGCGUUGUCCGGAAUCAUUGGGCGUAAAGAGCGUGUAGGCGGCCAGAUAAGUCCGCUGUGAAAACUCGAGGCUCAACUUCGAGCUGUCGGUGGAAACUAUUUGGCUAGAGUCCGGAAGAGGAGAGUGGAAUUCCUGGUGUAGCGGUGAAAUGCGUAGAUAUCAGGAGGAACACCGGUGGCGAAGGCGGUUCUCUGGGCAUUACCUGACGCUGAGGAGCGAAAGUGUGGGGAGCGAACAGG